rnacentral:tRNA from 1 species
AGGGGCUUAGGUAGAAACAGACCAAGGGCCUUCAAAGCCCUAAGCGAGGGUGAAAACCCCCCAGCCCCUG